AUACGUAGGUGGCGAGCGUUGUCCGGAUUUACUGGGCGUAAAGGGAGCGUAGGCGGGAAUGCAAGUUUGCUGUUAAAUCUAUCGGCUCAACCGGUAGCAGCGGCAGAAACUGUGUUUCUUGAGUGAAGUAGAGGUAGGCGGAAUUCCUAGUGUAGCGGUGAAAUGCGUAGAUAUUAGGAGGAACACCAGUGGCGAAGGCGACUUACUGGACUGUAACUGACGCUGAGUCACGAAAGC
rnacentral:rRNA from 1 species